rnacentral:misc_RNA from 1 species
GUGAAUCAUCAAAUUUUUGAACGCAAAUUGCACUCUCUGGCAUUCCGGAGAGUAUGCCUGUUUGAGGGUCAGUAUAAACAAAAUCGGAGUUAUGCAUUUUGGGUGAAGCACCGUGGUUUGGGUCAUCUUAACUCUUAUUUUUAAGAGACUUAAAAUUAACAUUCUUUUUUGCUAACUUUUGAUGGGUACAUAAUUUUUUUUUAAUCGUCUACCCUUAUUGCAAAAAUAUUAUUAGAUCGUGAAGCA